UUACCUGGUCAUUAGUUACCUCUAUCAUUUAUCUGGUCAUUAGUUAUCUGGUCAUUAGUUACCUCUAUCAUUUAUCUGGUCAUUAAUUACCUCUAUCAUUUAUCUGGUCAUUAGUUACCUCUAUCAUUUAUCUGGUC